rnacentral:ncRNA from 1 species
GUGCUUCCGGCGCCGGUUGGGCGUGGGGAGAGAAUAGAGAAUCCGGUGAGAAACCGGGACGGUACCGCCACUGUAAGCGCAAAGAUCCUGCCCAGGGUGAAAACCGGUCAUUGGGGGCAUUUCCCCGAGAAGGCCGGGCAGAAUCGUCCGACGCGCAAGUCAGGAGACCUGCUCAAAU